GACAGAGGGGGCAAGCGUUGCUCGGAAUUACUGGGCGUAAAGGGUGCGUAGGCGGGUUAUUAAGUCAGAGGUGAAAUCCUGGAGCUCAACUCCAGAACUGCCUUUGAUACUGAUAGUCUUGAGUAUGGGAGAGGUGAGUGGAACUGCGAGUGUAGAGGUGAAAUUCGUAGAUAUUCGCAAGAACACCAGUGGCGAAGGCGGCUCACUGGCCCAUUACUGACGCUGAGGCACGAAAGCGUGGGGAGCAAACAGG
rnacentral:rRNA from 1 species